CACAGAACAUUCUUCCUUCUAGCAAAACAGAGGAACAAUCAUUUGAAGAAACAAACACUGAGCCCCUUCAGCUGACCUUCCACUUUCCCUCUCUCUGACUGACUCGGUAUAUGCGCUAACUUCAAUUGCUGUGCCUGUACCAAUUGAUCGUUUCAACCCCCAGAGCCUUCCUGGAUCCAUCAGAUGGAACCUGGAGAAGAGAAGAAAGACCUUGAGUCUGAUGGGGAGAUCCCUUUAUGCUCAUCUCAAGCUAGAUGUAGAUCAUGUACUUUUGACUUAGAGGCACCCAAUAUUUCACCUGCAAACCUUCCCAAUUUACAGGUUCUUGCUCAAACCCAAGAUUAACAUCUUGCUUCCUUUUGGACCCCUGGCAAUAUUGCUGGAUUAUUUUACUGGAAGCAAGGGAGCAGUCUUCUUCUUUGCUUCACUGGGCAUGACAGCUUUAGCUGACGGACUAGGUUAUACAACUGAGUAAGUUCUGGUUUCUCAACCUGUCAUUGGUAUUUUAAUUCUCCUUUCUUUCAUAACAAACUAAGAUACUUAUCACAUGUGACACAGGCAACUAGAAUUCUAUACAGGACCUACUGGUAUGUUUAUUGUUUUAUUACUUGUGAUUUACCAUGAAAAAUAAACUGUAAAACCAGAAUAUUGGAUGCAACAAUCUAAUUGUUUGACACAAUAAACAUUCUCAUGAUGUAAAUUGUUAAACUUGGAUACACCCACCUGUCCCUUCCUAAAUGUGCAAAUUAUUAAGAUUCUGCUGAUGGACAAGCAAUAAAUAAUAUAUAAAAAAAUGCUUUACACUAGAUAUGCUGUCUCCUAAAACAAUGCAUUUCUCCCCAGGCUUCUUACUGUACUCUAAUGAAGUGACGGGAUAAUAAUGCUAUUUUUUACUACAAAUAUGAGAAAUUUUUUGGCCAAAUGCACACCAUCUCUGAAGUUAUUUCCUCCAAACUUUUUUUUCUAUUAAAGUACUACUUAACAGUAAUGACUUCUAGAAAAAGAAUCAUGUAUAGGUAAAAUUGGCAAUUUAUCUCUUCUUCUUCUAAGUAAAUGACACCUCAUCCGGUUAUUCAUAGGCAAUUCUAAAAGAUUUUUAUAACAGAACAUAAUAUGGUCCUAAGAUUUUAUAUAUUUGGUGAGAUUACAACCCUGUCCUUCCAAGGAUCCAAUGAAGAUACAGUAUGUUUUGUUGUACAUGUUCUUGGUCCAUAAUGAUAUGAGUUUGGAUAUAUUUUCAGGAAUAACAAUUUUGCUCAAACAUUCCCUGUUGCCCCUAUAGACCCUAUGCCUAGGACAUUGUUCAGACCAAGAGCCAUAGUUACUAUUUGGGUUCAGUCGUGUUGUCUUGUUAUUGAUAUUAGCAUGAAUAUGAAUUUUACAUAUUUAGUAAUAAUACUGCCAAUUAUUUUUAUCUGGCAUAUAUAUUAUCUAAAUCUGAAAGUUUUCUGUAUGGAACUCUAAUUUUGUUGCUCAAAAUUAAUCUAUUCAGUUACAGCUUCCAGUUUGCAGUAUGCCAGGGCAAACAGAUGGUUUUAUGCACAAGUUUAGGCAAUGGUAAUGCACAUAUAUCUUGGUUGAAAUAACACGGUAUGCUGACAUAUGAAACUUAAACUUCCAAAUCUUAAUUAUUUAUUUGAAUGACUUACAGUAGCCCAAAUAUUCUUCUCAAUUUAGUCCACUUGUUUCUGAGUAUCUCUGGCAAGAAGUUUCUGGUUGAAUCUGCAGGUGCGACCUUUAUAAAUGCUGUAUAUGGCAACUUAACAGAUAUUAUAAUUUCAAUGUAUGCACUGAAGAAGGGAAUGGUUAAGGUAGUUCAACAAUUAUUAUUGGGCACCAUCCUGUCGAAUAUGCUAUCAGUGCUUGGCUGUGGCUUCUUCACUUGCUGUAUCAUUCAUCACCAGGCACUGCAACAUUUCAACAAGGGAGCUGCCUUGAUGAAAUCAGGAUUGCUGUUUAUGGAUUUUAUUACCAUAUUGCUUCCACAAGUACUUUAGUACACACAGACAGAGGUUCAUGUUGGGAAGUCAGUGUUAUCUUCUCCAACAUUUUGCAGCUGCAUGAUGCUGGUAGCAUACGUAAGCUACCUUUUCUAUGAGCUUGGGAGUCAAAAUACCAUUUUCAUAGUUGCAAGGCAAUUUCUAUUAGCCAAAUCUUGUUGAGGUUCUGUCAUGUGAUUGUUCUAAUUUGAACAAUCAAGGUUUCAUGAUUAGUGCUUUAUAUGGCUUAUUGUAUUUCUCUAAAAUCUUAGUAAAUGACAUGUAUAGCUUUAUAUUUGGCAAGGCAUAUAUUCGAAUUCUGCAAAUUUUUGUCAUGUGCUAAUUUUCUAUUUUUUGAGCUUGAAAGAUGCCUUACCAUAUAUU